ACAGCAGUCGCCGCGGUAAUACGUAGGUGGCAAGCGUUGUCCGGAAUUAUUGGGCGUAAGGGCUCGCAGGCGGCUUCUCAAGUCUGAUGUGAAAGCCCCCGGCUCAACCGGGGAGGGUCAUUGGAAACUGGGAAACUUGAGUGCAGAAGAGGAGAGUGGAAUUCCACGUGUAGCGGUGAAAUGCGUAGAGAUGUGGAGGAACACCAGUGGUGAAGGCGACUCUCUGGUCUGUAACUGACGCUGAGGAGCGAAAGCGUGGGGAGCGAACAGGAUUAGAUACCCCCGUAGUCCCUGUCUCUUAUACA
rnacentral:rRNA from 1 species